CUGUCGGUGAUGAUCCAGCCGUCGAGCUGCUGUGUCUGGGCCACUGAUGUCCGUGAUGGAGCUGAGGAUCUGAGCAG
ensembl:snoRNA